rnacentral:rRNA from 1 species
UACGGGAGGCAGCAGUGGGGAAUAUUGCACAAUGGGCGCAAGCCUGAUGCAGCCAUGCCGCGUGUAUGAAGAAGGCCUUCGGGGCUGUAAAGUACUUUCAGUCGUGAGGAAGGUGUUAAGGUUAAUAACCUUAGCAAUUGACGUUAGCGACAGAAGAAGCACCGGCUAACUCCGUGCCAGCAGCCGCGGUAAUACGGAGGGUGCGAGCGUUAAUCGGAAUUACUGGGCGUAAAGGGCACGCAGGCGGUUAAUUAAGUUGGAUGUGAAAUCCCCGGGCUUAACCUGGGAAUGGCAUUCAAGACUGGUUAGCUAGAGUCUUGUAGAGGGGGUAGAAUUCCAUGUGUAGCGGUGAAAUGCGUAGAGAUGUGGAGGAAUACCGGGUGGCGAAGGCGGCCCCUGGGACAAAGGACUGACGCUCAUGUGCGAAAGCGUGGGGAGCGAAACAGGGAUUAGAUACC